rnacentral:rRNA from 1 species
CCUAGGGGAGGCAGCAGUGGGGAAUAUUGGGCAAUGGAGGAGACUCUGACCCAGCGACGCCGCGUGAGGGAUGAAGGCCUUCGGGUUGUAAACCGCUUUCAGUAGGGAAGAAGCGAAAGUGACGGUACCUACAGAAGAAGCACCGGCUAACUAUGUGCCAGCAGCCGCGGUAAU